UAACGCGUUAAGUCGACCGCCUGGGGAGUACGGCCGCAAGGUUAAAACUCAAAUGAAUUGACGGGGGCCCGCACAAGCGGUGGAGCAUGUGGUUUAAUUCGAUGCAACGCGAAGAACCUUACCUACUCUUGACAUCCAGAGAACUUGGCAGAGAUGCUUUGGUGCCUUCGGGAACUCUGAGACAGGUGCUGCAUGGCUGUCGUCAGCUCGUGUUGUGAGAUGUUGGGUUAAGUCCCGCAACGAGCGCAACCCUUAUCCUUUGUUGCCAGCGCGUGAUGGCGGGAACUCAAAGGAGACUGCCGGUGAUAAACCGGAGGAAGGUGGGGAUGACGUCAAGUCAUCAUGGCCCUUACGAGUAGGGCUACACACGUGCUACAAUGGCGUAUACAAAGGGAAGCGACCCCGCGAGGGCAAGCGGAACUCAUAAAGUACGUCGUAGUCCGGAUUGGAGUCUGCAACUCGACUCCAUGAAGUCGGAAUCGCUAGUAAUCGUAGAUCAGAAUGCUACGGUGAAUACGCUCCCGGGCCUUGCACACACCGCCCGUC
rnacentral:rRNA from 1 species